GUCCAGCCCGUUUUGGCGGACUGGACAUUUGGUCAAUUUGAAACAAUACAGAGAUGAUCAGCAGUUCCCCUGCAUAAGGAUGAACCGUUUUACAAAGAGAUUUACUAUUUUUUU
rfam:Lachancea lanzarotensis strain CBS 12615 genome assembly, scaffold: LALA0S07